rnacentral:rRNA from 1 species
AAUCCAUAGGUUAAUGAGGCGAACCGGGGGAACUGAAACAUCUAAGUACCCCGAGGAAAAGAAAUCAACCGAGAUUCCCCCAGUAGCGGCGAGCGAACGGGGAGGAGCCCAGAGCCUGAAUCAGCAUGUGUGUUAGUGGAAGCGUCUGGAAAGGCGCGCGAUACAGGGUGACAGCCCCGUACACAAAAGCGCAUGUGCUGUGAGCUCGAUGAGUAGGGCGGGACACGUGGUAUCCUGUCUGAAUAUGGGGGGACCAUCCUCCAAGGCUAAAUACUCCUGACUGACCGAUAGUGAACCAGUACCGUGAGGGAAAGGCGAAAAGAACCCCGGCGAGGGGAGUGAAAAAGAACCUGAAACCGUGUACGUACAAGCAGUGGGAGCCCCACCACCAAAGCAUUCUCUGGUGUUGAAGGCCCUGCAAAGCAGCAUCGCGGUGGC